UUCUAUUAGAAAUUAUUAAUAGUAAAAUCUGCUCAAUGAAAAUUUAAAUAGCCGCAUAUGUGCUAAGGUAGCAUAAUCAUUUGUCUUUUAAUUAAAGACUAGAAUAAAAGAUUUAACUUUUAAAUAAAUUUUUUAAAUUUAAUUAUUUAAAUUUUCUUAAAUAUAAAAAGACAUUUAUUUCUUAGAAAGACGAUAAGACCCUAUCGAACUUUUACUUUAGUUAAACUGGGGAAGUUAAUUAAUUAUAAUUUUAAUUUUAAUAAAUUUAAAAUAAGACCUAAUAUAAUUAACUUAAUAAUCAAGUUACCGUAGGGAUAACAGCGUAAUAAAAUUUUUAAGAUCAUAUUUAAAAUAAAGAUUGCGACCUCGAUGUUGAUUAAUUUCCUAAUUCACGCAAUAGUAAAUUAAGGAAGUCUGUUCGACUUUUAAAAAAUUACA
rnacentral:rRNA from 1 species